GAUGAAGAACGCAGCGAAAUGCGAUAAGUAAUGUGAAUUGCAGAAUUCAGUGAAUCAUCGAAUCUUUGAACGCACCUUGCACCCUUUGGCAUUCCGAAGGGUAUGCUCGUUUGAGUGUCAUUGUACUCUCACUCUCCCGAUGCUUUUGGAUCGGGAGUGGUGGACUUGGGUGUUGCUGCUUUGCUGUGGCUCGCCUCAAAUGGAGUAGUGCAACUCUUGGUUGGACAUAGUACGGCGUGAUAAGUGUCUUCGCCGGCGCCUCAUUAUAGAGGGUGGCCGAUCGGGAGCUCUGUGCUUCAAACCGUCUUCGGACAACAUCUGACAACUUGACCUCAAAUCGAGUAGGACUACCCGCUGAACUUAAGCAUAUCAUAAGCGGAGGA
rnacentral:misc_RNA from 1 species